GGGUGUGACAGUCUGGCUGCAGCUUGUCACAACACUGAUCACCAGGGUUGAUUUGGCUGAUCUGCCUGUCUAAGCAGCUGUCCCUUUCCUCCCUCAUGGCUCCAUGUGUGUCCCUCCUAAAGCUGCAACCCAACUGAUGAGGACUUUCCCCAGAGAAAGGAGGGCCAGCCUUAGGUCAAGGGUGUACCAGCUCUCUGUUCUCCCGUUCAGACCUCCAAGCGAGCCCUCACGUGGACAGCACGGUGUCUACAGGCCAAUCUGCUGCUCACUCUGCCCUGGAUACUUGCAG
rnacentral:snRNA from 1 species